UACAGAGGGUGCGAGCGUUAAUCGGAAUUACUGGGCGUAAAGGGCUCGUAGGCGGCCAACUAAGUCGGACGUGAAAUCCCUCGGCUUAACCGGGGAACUGCGUCCGAUACUGGAUGGCUUGAGUUUGGGAGAGGGAUGCGGAAUUCCAGGUGUAGCGGUGAAAUGCGUAGAUAUCUGGAGGAACACCGGUGGCGAAGGCGGCAUCCUGGACCAACACUGACGCUGAGGAGCGAAAGCCAGGGGAGCAAACGGG
rnacentral:rRNA from 1 species